rnacentral:lncRNA from 7 species
UCUGGACUUGAGCACAGAGCCAUGGCCGCCCUCUUGUUGCUGCUGCUGAUCAUCAUUGUUCAGAAACGCGAUGAUGGCCUUGGCGCCCUCGUGGCAGAGAGCACAGAUGGCGCCAUGGGGCUGCAGAUGCAGCAGUCCAUGCUUCCGCUAACUCCGCCGCCGCCGCCGCCUCGCCUUCCUUUCCUUCUUCCUCCUUUUCCUCCCUCUGGCUUUGGUGCUCUGCAAUGGUGCUAG